rnacentral:rRNA from 1 species
UGGACAGAAAGACCCUAUGAAGCUUUACUGUAGCCUGGAAUUGGCUUCGGGCGGUGCUUGCGCAGGAUAGGUGGGAGGCUAUGAGAUACCCCUUGUGGGGGGUAAGGAGCCAACGGUGAGAUACCACUCUGGCACGGCUAGGAUUCUAACCCGUAACUGAAAAGCAGUACGGGAACAGUUUCAGGUGGGCAGUUUGACUGGGGCGGUCGCCUCCUAAAAGGUAACGGAGGCGCGCAAAGGUUCCCUCGGGCUGGUUGGAAACCAGCCGUAAGAGUGUAAAGGCAGAAGGGAGCUUGACUGCAAGACAGACAAGUCGAGCAGGGACGAAAGUCGGCCUUAGUGAUCCGACGGCACUGAGUGGCAGGGCCGUCGCUCAACGGAUAAAAGUUACUCUAGGGAUAACAGGCUG